rnacentral:miRNA from 1 species
AAUCACAGCCAAGGGAAUGGGCUUGGUGGAAUCAGCAGGGAAAGAAGAUCCUGCUGGCUUGACUGUAGCCAAG